UACGUAGGGGGCAAGCGUUGUCCGGAUUUAUUGGGCGUAAAGCGCGUGUAGGCGGCUUGACAGGUCUGCUGUGAAAACUCGAGGCUCAACCUCGAGAUGUCGGCGGAAACCGUCUGGCUAGAGUCCGGAAGAGGAGAGUGGAAUUCCUGGUGUAGCGGUGAAAUGCGCAGAUAUCAGGAGGAACACCGGUGGCGAAGGCGGCUCUCUGGACAGACACCGACGCUGAGGCACGAAAGCUAGGGGAGCAAACAGG
rnacentral:rRNA from 1 species